CCUGAGCCGCCAUUUCACGGUCAGUUAAGCCACCACAGAUUUGAAUAAUACGAUCCGAUAAUGUGGAUUUUCCAUGGUCGAUAUGUGCAAUGAUCGAAAAGUUUCUGAUGUUUUUGAUUUUCAAGGUAAUAUCUUCUUUUAAAUUGCCUUACAAAAUCAGUUUUGAGCAAAUUUCGCUACAAAACUAAAAUGCUAUGAUUAUCACAAGAUUGCUAAUUAGCAGCAUUUUACAUACAAGAACCCACUAACACAAAGAUUCAAUGUAAAACAACUGUAAACUUGCCAAAGUUUAAUAAGUUACUUAUUUCAUUUUUUUUCAUUUUGAACGACUAAAAACAAAAUCGCCUGUAGUGAAAAGCAUAACUACAGGCGAUUAAGGUAUACAGUGACAUUCAACAAUGUGCUUGAACGCUGAUUUCCCCAGGAGGCAGUCCUAUUUGUAACACGAUAGGCUCAAAGUCGAUUUUAUUUCGCCAGCGAGAAGCCACUUUUCUUGCCGUAAAAAAGCCAACAAAACCGCCUAAAAUACCAGUUAGAGCAACCCAAACUUGCUCUAACUGAGCUGAUUGAGCCAAUGCAGAAAAUAAAAAUAGUCCGAUUAAUGGUGUUAAAUAGACUAGCAUUGCUGAGCGAAGUAAGCUUCCCUCAGGAAUACCAACUUCAAUUUUUUGCCCCACGACUAAUGGCUGCUCAACGUCAAUUUCCAACUCAUGCUCUGUGUUAGGUCCGAUUUUAUUUAAGGCAUAAGAGCCACAGGCUGCGCGAGCACUGCAACUUCCACAACCAGCAGACGAACCAUAACGCAAUAAUGCUCGCCCCUUUUGCCACCUAACCACUGUUGCCCAUUCUUUUACCAUGAUUUACUCCCGAAACUGAAUGCU
rnacentral:ncRNA from 1 species